rnacentral:rRNA from 1 species
CAUGCAGGCGGUCAGGCGCGUUUUGUGUGACAGCGGGUGGCUUCACUACCCGAGCAUGCGAAAGACGGCGUGACUUGAGGACUCGAGAGGGACACGGAAUUCCGGGUGGAGUGGUGAAAUGCGUAGAGAUCCGGAGGAACACCGAAGGCGAAGGCAGUGUCCUGGCGAGUGACUGACGCUGAGGUGCGAAAGCCAGGGGAGCGAACGGGAUUAGAUACCCCGGUAGUCCUGGCCGUAAACGAUGACCACCAGGUGUGGGAGGUAUCGACCCCUUCCGUGCCGUAGUUAACACAGUAAGUGGUCCGCCUGGGGAGUACGGUCGCAAGAUUAAA